rnacentral:lncRNA from 1 species
GCAGACUCCAUCUUCCCCCAGCAUGCACCUUGUGUGGAUUCUCUGCUUCCUUAGGCCACAAGCCCCAGGUGGUCCUUUACUCUCCUCCCUUUCCUGAUUUUGACAAGUUACUUGAGAGCUUUGUUGUGAACACAGCCUACUCUCCAGGGCCGGAGAGAGAGACCUGUCUGCAUUCCAACACUGGCUGGGCCUGAAAACUGAAAACUAUUUCUGCAGGCAGGCAGAAGCUGAUUUCCAUAUGUCGCAAGCCGUGUCAAGUGUCACAGGCAGGGAACAAGAAGAAUUCUCUGCUUUGGUGACCUGGGACCAGCAAUAGAAGUAGGAAGAUUGCUCUCAGAGGCUUUGAGAGGAAGCAGGAGAAAGAGGCCGUGACCUUCUUCUGACCUUUGGCUCAUAAAUGACAGACUCCCCAGAGCACUUCUGUCUAGUUGGAUUCUGUACCUGGGAUCUCAGCCUUUACGUAGAAGCCAAGCAGCUGAACAGAAGGCAAGGACUGAGAAACUGAGACUAAGUAUGCCAAAGAAGGGAAGAGUAUUGGAGCAUUUAUUGAGUGCCUGCUAUUGUGGAGAAUGGGGAGUCCAAGUUAGAAGACCCUGCAAAUCAGAAAGAAAUAGGAGAGAAAGGUUUGUAGCAUGGGCAUUGCACAUACAGAAAAAAACGAUUAGAGGAGAAGCCAUGCUAUUCUUCCUCUAUAGGUUGAAAAAGAAAAUAUUACGUGAUGACUUGCUGGUCAAAAUAAUACCUCUAUUCUAAUACCUCUAUUCCUGUGUCAGAACCGGAGCUACGGCAGCAUUUUUGGAACCCAGCAAAGCUGAACUUAAGCUGGAUUCAUCGCUAUGCCAAGGUGGCAGAGGUAGACACAAGAGGGCAAGCUAAUUCCCUGCUCACUUGAGUGUGAAUGGUGUGUUGUUGUUGACUGGCCUUGAACUUGUGGUCAUCCUGCCUCAUCCUCCCAAGUUCUGGGAUUACAGUUGUGCACCAACACACCUAGCCGAAAAUGGUCUCUGAAACCUAAUGUUGCAUGGCGACUCUGUGUCUUUUGCUGUUUGUACAUCUGCUGAUGGAUGAUGUUUUGGUUUCUCUUCUCCCCUCCCCCCCCGCCCCCCC